CCCGUACGAAUGCGAUGACCUGGGAUCCAGUCCAGCGCUGAUCGCUGUGUCUUUGGCACUCCGAAAUGUAGCGUAUAGACKGUGCGCGUGGCUUUGUCUGCCGGUUUAAGUUUCCCUUGACUGGGGCUCCAAAGAAGGUGAAAGACCUGUACAACCGGUGGACUUUGUCAUCUGCUCUGUCUUGGAGUCGGGUUGUUUGGGAUCGCAGCCCAAAGUAGGUGGUAAACUUCAUCUAAGACUAAAUAUGACUACGAGACCGAUAGCAAACAAGUACCGUGAGGGAAAGUUGCAAAGCACUUUGAAGAGAGAGUUAAAGAGGACGUGAAACCGGUAAGGUGGAAACGGAUAGAGCUAGCGUAUCUAGCUUGUAUUCAGCCGCUCUGGUUUGGGUGCCCUGUUUGCUGGUCCGGAUUCGGCCAGUUGGCGGGUGUCUCCCGGGCUUUGGUGGUGCAUUUGCAAGUGGAGUGCGCUGAGGCCUGUGGGGCAGCGGUUGGAAGUGCGCUUUGAGGAUACCCUUUGGGGUAAAACCCGGGCGUACCUAAGACUGUUUGCCCUGCUUGUACAUGAGCGAGGCCUACGGGUUUGGCUGGAGCUGAGCUGGUCACCGGUUACGGUCGCUGCGACACGUGCUGGCGGCUGGUUUGGUUUCGGUUUGACUCCCUCGCUCGCCCUCGGUGUAAAAGCUAGGUCAUCUAUCCAACCCGUCUUUGAAACACGGACCAAGGAGUUUAGCGUAUACGCGAGUCAUUGAGUGGAAAACUCAAAGGCGCAAUGAAAGUAAAGGUAUCCCUUGCGGAGCUGAUUGCGACCUCGGGUGCUUCGGUGCCCGGGAGCAGCAUAGCCCCGUCCUAAUUGCUUGCAAUGGGGCGGAGGU
rnacentral:rRNA from 1 species